GUGCAGUUGAGGCAGGCGGAAUUCGUGGUGUAGCGGUGAAAUGCUUAGAUAUCACGAAGAACUCCGAUUGCGAAGGCAGCUUGCUAAGCUGCAACUGACAUUGAGGCUCGAAAGUGUGGGUAUCAAACAGGAUUAGAUACCCUGGUAGUCCACACGGUAAACGAUGAAUACUCGCUGUUUGCGAUAUACGGCAAGCGGCCAAGCGAAAGCGUUAAGUAUUCCACCUGGGGAGUACGCCGGCAACGGUGAAACUCAAAGGAAUUGACGGGGGUCCGCACAAGCGGAGGAACAUGUGGUUUAAUUCGAUGAUACGCGAGGAACCUUACCCGGGCUUAAAUUGCACUCGAAUGAUCCGGAAACGGUUCAGCUAGCAAUAGCGAGUGUGAAGGUGCUGCAUGGUUGUCGUCAGCUCGUGCCGUGAGGUGUCGGCUUAAGUGCCAUAACGAGCGCAACCCUUGUUGUCAGUUACUAACAGGUGAUGCUGAGGACUCUGACAAGACUGCCAUCGUAAGAUGUGAGGAAGGUGGGGAUGACGUCAAAUCAGCACGGCCCUUACGUCCGGGGCUACACACGUGUUACAAUGGGGGGUACAGAGGGCCGCUACCACGCGAGUGGAUGCCAAUCCCUAAAACCCCUCUCAGUUCGGACUGGAGUCUGCAACCCGACUCCACGAAGCUGGAUUCGCUAGUAAUCGCGCAUCAGCCACGGCGCGGUGAAUACGUUCCCGGGCCUUGUACACACCGCCCGUCAAGCCAUGGGAGCCGGGGGUACCUGAAGUGCGUAACCGCGAGGAUCGCCCUAGGGUAAAACUGGUGAC
rnacentral:rRNA from 1 species